AGUGUGGGGUUAAGAGCUGAAGGACAGGAUGCCCCCUUCCCCAGGAGCUGCUGGGGCUUUCGCUGGGCGUGUGCCUACCCACCCACCCACUGUGAGCUGUUGACUUGGUGAUGUGCAUUCCCUGGGAGAGGCCGUCUCACUUGUUUCCUCUCUGGGAUUCCUCCUUGGAGUGCUGGAAGGUGAGAGGGAGUGAGGAGCAGGCAGGGGCUGGGGCUGAUGGACACCCAGGGAAGCCUUCCAGUAGACAAACCCGAUGCAGGAAGACCUCCUUUUAUCACGUUUGUGGCUAGGAAUUGGGUCUUUUUGGAUUUGCCUCAAGGCUUCCCUAAGAAUCCUUUUUUCUUUUUCUUUCUUUUUUUCUUUUUUUUUAAAUGGAGUUUUCGCUCUUGUUGCCCAGGCUGGAGGGCAAUGGUGCAAUCUCGGCUCACUGCAACCUCUGCCUCCUGGGUUCAAGUGGUUCUCCUGUCUCAGCCUCCCAAGUAGCUGGGACUACAAGCACGUGCCACCAUGCCUGGCUAAUUUUUGUAUUUUUAGUACAGAUGAGGUUUCACCAUGUUGGCCAGGCUGGUCUCGAACUCCUGACCUCAGGUGAUCCACCUGCCUCGGCCUCCCAAAGUGCUGGGAUUACAGGUGUGAGCCGUCGCGCCUGGCCAGAAUCUUCUUUUAUUGAGUGUGCGUCUAAAAUAGAUUUCAAGUUACGGGUGGCAGCUGGAGACCCUACUGUUAGUGAGUAAGGAAAAUAACCAUCAGCUUCUUUACUCCCCAGGUGCUGGGUGGAGGGGAACACAGGCCAGGAAAUACUAAUGAUUGUGAUAAAGAGCUCCCCAGGGGCCGGAUGUGGUGGCUCAAGCCUGUAAUCCCAGCAUUCCACGAGGCCAAGGUGGGAGGAUUGUUUGGGCCCAGGAGUUUGAGACCAGCCUGGGCAACAUGGCAAGAUCCUGUCUCUACAAAAUAUAAAAAAUUAGCCAGGCAUGAUGGUGUGCGCCUGUGGUCCCAGCUACUUGGGAGGCUGAGGUGGGAGGAUUGCUUGAAUCUGGGAGGUCGAGGCUGCAGUGAGCUGUGAUCAUGUCACCUGCACUACAGCCUGGGCAACAGGGCAAGGCCCUGUGUCCAAAAAAAAAAAAAAAAAAAAAAGCCGGGCACGGUGGCUUACGCCUGCAGUCUCAGCACCUUGGGAGGCCGAGGCAGGCAGAUCAUGAGGUUAGGAGAUCGAGACCAUCCUGGCUAACAUGGUGAAACCCCGUCUUUACUAAAAAUACAAAAAUUAGCCGGGCGUGGUGGCGGAUGCCUGCAGUCCCAGCUACUCGGGAGGCUGAGGCAGGAGAAUGGUGUGAACCCGGGAGGCGGAGCUUGCAGUGAGCAGAGAUCACACCACUGCACUUCAGCCUGGGCGACAGAGCGAUACUCUGUCUCAAAAAAAAAGUCCCCAGGACCCAAGGAAGCUGCCCAGAAGUUUUCUGAAGAGGCUCCCUGCUGCAGCUCUGAAGAGGAACAGGCUGUGCUGCUGCCCCUGCUUUCAGGAUGCUUGCAGCUUUCUCCCGCUCUCUCAGUAAGGUCUGCUGAGCACUGCACUGACGGCUCCCAGUCCCCUCUCAGUGAAGACACCAAGAAGCAGCAGCCAAGCAGCAGUCGUGGCUGCCUCCCAGUGGCCCCGGCUGUAAUCUUCUGUUCAAGGUGCCCACACCAGAUCUCAGCUGUAGAAAGCAGAGAGGCUUCAGCUGCCCUAAGAGCUGGCUCUGCGGCUGGUGACUCAGCGGGGGUGAGGGUUGAGGCGGGGGAGUGGGGGUUGGGACUUGGGGCCUGAGGACUCAUCACUGAUGACAACAAAGCCCAGGGGAUUUUGUGCAGAAGACAGGAAGCUGAGUCCCAAGAACAAGCCCAGCAGCAGAACUGCAAAAUCUAAUGAAUCCCCAGUAAUUCCAUUUAUGCCACUGAAUCCUCCCUGUGGGUUCAGAAAAACAGAUCCCUGCUUCAUGCUUCCUAAAAAUGCAGCAUGAACCAAGAUCUAAAUUCCACAACCAAGUGACCCCUCUUUCUCUUUUCUGCUGCCCACCUUCCCCGCCCCAGCCCACACCCACCCCCAAGUCCACAAGAACAUCCAGAGUGAUGUGGGUGGAGAUUUUCCUUUAUUUGAUUUUAUUUUGGAGAGGAAGGGCUAGAGCAAAAAGAUGAUGCCAACACACCGGGCACUAGAAUGACCCCUGCACAUGCAGAACACACGGACACUCAAGCUGGAUUAGUGACUGAGCAAAUGUGCCCCGUGGAGAGAAUGUCACCAGAGCUGCAAAAGCCCCCCGACCCCAGCUUUUAUUAGUUUUAAGACCCCCAACCACACCCACCCCAGGUCUCCUUGUUUUCAGUAAGCAGACCUCCUAGCAAACUGGGCUUUUACUCCUGUGGGCUCAGUGCCACAUCCCCUCAAAUAAACAUGCAUCCUCUAGAGCAAAAGGGAAAUUGACAGGAUGCUGGAACGCCGAGAGAUGGGAUGCUUUAUUUUUCAUUAUCCACCAGCUUGGGAGAAAGGCCACCUUCCAUCGCACCAGUGAGAGGCGGGAAAGAGCGAUCGGGCCCUUUCCCGUCUCUCAGGCCUUGUGCAACAUGGCCCUGGCUGCUCACUCCAGCCCUGCCUGACUUUAAACAAACCCAGUCAGUACCCUUCCACCUCUUGCCUUGGGAAGAAGACAUUUGAGAGCUCACAGAUAUAGUGCAACCGGUUAUCCAAACCAACAUGUUCUCUUGCUCAGCUUCUGUUCUAUCCAAAGGUCUCAUCCUGCUCCCCCAAGGGGAUUUCUGAUAUCUGAAAACCCCAAACCUGACUCCAGGCCUCCCCAGCAACGUGUGAGCCCCAUGGAAUGUAUUUAUUUCAUUGCAACAACCCCUCACAACCCGGCCUUCCUGCAUUUCCCGAGCGGUCUUGGGUUUUUCUCAGCAUCUCUCCCGGUGGCGUGUUGUGGUGCCCUGACUUGGAGGUGUGCAGGGUGGCAGGGGAAGUAUCAGGUGCCUUUGCUUUCUGUCCUCUCCUCGUCAGCCGUCUGAGCGUUGCUGACAGCGCGAAGCUGCCCCUGGGCUGCAGGCUUCACCGACAGGACCAAGCGUUUGCGGAACGUCUCACAGAGCACGAUGUACACAAAGGGGUUGAGGCAGCUGUUGGCAUAGCCCAAGCUGAUGGCCGCAUUGUAUAAGUAGACAAAGGUGAGGGUCGGGCGGCUGAUGGACAACUGGGUCAGCUGUAGCACAUAGUAGGGUGCCCAGCACACAAAGAAGACCAGACAGAUGGCGAUGGCUGUGCGGGUCACCCUCUUUGUCCGCAGCCGGAUGCUGCGCUGGGAGGCGGGGGCCACUGAGGACGUCAUGCGCUGCAGGAUCCUCACGUAUGCGGCUGUGAUGACCACAAAAGGCAGGGCAAAGGCCAGGAAAAACUGGUACAGGGUGAACCAGUAGAGGUCAGUGUCUGGGUUGGGCAGGCGUAUGCCGCAGCCCACUGCACCUCCUGGGAAGGGGAUGAGUCUGGCAUACAGCCACACAGGGGUGAUGCUGAUGAAGGAGAGGGCCCACAGGAGGCAGAUCACCAGGGUGGCCACAGAGGGCUUCCGGAACUUCGUGGAAGAGAUGGGGUGGACAGUGGCCAGGUAGCGGUCAAUGGCCAUGGCGGUCAGGAUGUAGGUGCUGGUGAACUGACUAUUGGCAUCCAUGGCCGUGAUGAGGGUGCACAUGGUCUCCCCAAAGUGCCACACCCCAUUGCCCAUGAGCUGGUGGAUCAUGAAGGGCAUGCCCAGGAGAAAGAGGAGAUCUACUACCGAGAGGUUGAUGAUGAAGAUGUCGGGGACGUUGUUGCACCAGUGCAGCUUGGACUUCUUCACGACCGCGAAGAUGACCGUGGAGUUCCCGAUGAUGCCCAGGAGGCAGAUGGUGCCGAACACCGAAGGCAUGAUGAUGUUGAUGUAGGAGAUGCUCCCCGUGCGAGGAGGUGAUCCUGGGGACAGAAGGAGCAAGCGUUGGCUGUUUGACAUGGGCUUUGCUCUGAGAACUGACAUCCUGCUGGCAUGCUCAGCCUCCAGCGACCCACCGUUCAUCUGGAAUCCUCUCCCACCAUUCUCCCUCCCUUCACUGUUGCUAAUCUUGUCCCUUUUCCCUUCUCCAUGAGUUUCCUGGUGAAUCCUACCAGAGUGCCCUGAGCCAUCUGUCUUGGAAGGACACAACAUGCCUGCCUCCUGCAGGCACCAGAGGCAAGAACCACAGUUGUCUGCAGAGAUUACUCUGUGAGCCCCGGGCUUCACCAGGAAAACUCGUCAGCAUAGCCAGAAGGACACAAAAGCUCUACACAUCCCCAGUGAAAUGAGGAAGCCCACUUCAGCUGCUGCCGUCCCCGCUGGCAGCUCUCACCAGGGACUGUUCAGAGGCACCGGUAUUUCCCUUCCCAGUGAAUUUCUCAAAGUCUUGGUUUUCUGGGGGAUCAACUUAUGAGCAACCAAAAAAAAUACAAUGUUUACUACAAACUCUGUUAAGGGGUUAUUUAUUUUGAAAGCAACUGGGAGCCACUAAAAUGUUUUUUGUGUUUUUUUAGAUGGGGUCUUGCUCUGUUGCCCAGGAUGGAGUGCAGUGGCACGAUCUCGGCUCACUCCAACGUCUGCCUCCCAGGUUCAAGCCAUUCUCCUGCCUCAGUCCCACCCCAGCUCCCUGUCCCUAGUGGCUGGGACUACAGACGUACGCCGUUUCAUUCUGAAAUGUGUCUCCCGGUCUCGGAGGUGGGGCCUGCUGGGAGGUGAUCGGAUCAUGGCGGCAGAUCCCUUAUGAAUGGUUUAGCACUAUCCCCUUGGUGAUGAGUGACUUCUCACUCAGUUACUUCACAUGAGAGCUGCUUGUUUAAAAGUCUGGGACCUUGGCCAGGUGCGGUGGCUCACACUUGUAAUCCUAGCAUUUUGGGAAGACGAGGUGGGCGGAUUGCCUAAGCUCAGGAGUUCGAGAUCACCCUGGGCAACAUGGUGAAACCCCAUCUCUAUUAAAAUACAAAAAAUUAGGCUGGGCGCAGUGGCUCACACCUGUAAUCCCAGCACAUUGGGAGGCCGAGACGGGUGGAACACAAGGUCAGGAGAUCGAGACCAUCUUGGCUAACAUGGUGAAACCCUGUCUCUACUAAAAAGCACAAAAAAUUAGCCGGGCAUGGUGGCAGGCGCCUGUAGUCCCAGCUACUCAGGAAGCUGAGGCAGGAGAAUCACUUGAACCUGGGAGGUAGAGCUUGCAGUGAGCCAAGAUCACGCUACUGCACUCCAGCCUGGGUGACCGUGCAAGACUCCAUCUCAUAAAUAAAUAAAUAAAUAAAUACAAAAAAUCAGCUGGGUGUGAUGGCACACACCUAUAGUCCCAGCUACUCGGGAGGCUAAGGCAGGAGAAUCACUUGAACCCAAGAGGCGGAGGUUGCAGUGAGUCAAGAUCGCGCCACUGCACUCCAGCCUGAGCGACAGAGUGUGACUCUGUCUCCAAAAAAAAAAAAAAAAAAAAAAGUCUGGGACCUCCUCCCUCUCUCUUGCUCCCACUCUUGCCAUGUGACGUGCCUGCUCCCCCUUUACCUUCUGCCAUGAUUGCAAGCUUUCUGAGGCCUCAGCAGAAACCAAGCAGAUAUCAGCAACAUACUUCCUCUACAGCCUGCAGAACCAUGAGCCAAUUAAACCUCUUUUCUUUAUAAAU
rnacentral:lncRNA from 1 species